rnacentral:rRNA from 1 species
AUACAGAGGGUGCGAGCGUUAAUCGGAAUUACUGGGCGUAAAGCGCGCGUAGGCGGCUGAUUAAGUCAGAUGUGAAAUCCCAGGGCUCAACCUUGGAACUGCAUCUGAUACUGGUAAGCUAGAGUUUGGGAGAGGGAAGUAGAAUUUCAGGUGUAGCGGUGAAAUGCAUAGAGAUCUGAAGGAAUACCAGUGGCGAAGGCGACUUCCUGGCCUAAAACUGACGCUGAGGUGCGAAAGCGUGGGUAGCAAACGGGAUUAGAAACCCCGGUAGUCC